rnacentral:lncRNA from 1 species
CCCCUCUGUCUGGGACCCAGGUCGGAGCCAGCCUGCCAUGACCAGUCUGGAAGAAGGUGGCAGAGAGGUGGGGCAGCUUCCCGAGGCCUGGGAGGUGCGUCUCCAUGGCAACUGCGGGGCUUUCCCAGAUGAUGUCACACGUCACACAGGAUUCCUGAGAUCCACCUGGAGAUUGGCUGGUGAAGGAUCACUGCCUUUUAUCUUGUUCCAACUCUUUAUUUGCGCUAUAGACAGGCACUGUUUCUUACUUUAGCUCCGAGAGCAGUUUCUUCGUGCUACCUAAACUGCUGGGCUGACCCCGUGUAUCCUAGAUUCUUUACAAGGGGGAAAAAUAUGUUUUUUAAACAAACGUGUUACCAGGGUGAAGUCUGAGGAGCUGGAAGGGAGGGAGACAGGGGCUUUGCUGUCCUGAAGUGAUGCCUUUGCUGUGGCGUGACAGCUCAGACUGGAGCCCGGCCCCAGGGAAGGGACUAAGGAGGUGUCUGUUGUUUUUCCAGCUCUCCUACUAACCGAUCAGCUCCUCUCCCAGGUGGACCUCCUGAUCCUCCAGAACCUCCUGGGUCCUGUCCCAGCAGCUGUCAGGAGGGAGAUGCCGUGGCCUCACUAGCAGCUGCAGGCUCUUUGCCUGUUGCCCCCAUGCUUGCUACAGGAAGCCUGCGGUGGAGCCCUCUUCCCUCCUUGAAGUCUGGAUAUGACUGAAAAACUGUGGGUUCAAGUGUAAACAGGCUUGCUCUGUGAAGAUGGACCUUUAUUCUGGCAGAUUUCAGCGUGUCUUGCUUGUAUUCUCAAUUGUGACUUAAGAUGGGUGUCGCGAAGUAUUCAGACAAAAUUCCCUCUUGAGUAUUAUUAAUAAGGAAGAUACUGGGUGAUAAGCAGAUGACAAACCUCCUCUGAUUGCCUGUCCUGGGAAACCUUUCUGCGGCAUGUCAAAAUGCACCCCUCGAAGAACAGAAGAAUGAAAUGCAUGUCAUUUGUACAAUUCCCCAGCAGUAUUAUUUCUCAGAAUCAGGCCUUGAGAUACAUUGAAAGAACAAAAACUGUAAAGUUAUGGUCUCAGUAAUGUUGUAUAAGUGUAUCAGCCGGCCGUGACUGACAUCCCUGCAUGAAAUGUAUGGAUCCUUCCAAGACUCCGAUAUAAAUGGGAACCACCUCUCGCUUUUAUGUGGAGGGAAGAGCAUUCUGAACCCCGUUCCUGUACCCUGGGGGGAGUCGGAGGUGUGAUUCACAGCUCCUUGGAGCUCCCAGCCCUGUGGGGCAUGCAGAUGACAAAGCAGGAUAAACGCUAUGAAGACCUGUCCUGAGAGUUAGGAAUGAGACAUCAUCCCAUUCAGGUGGAAGGAUAAUGUGAAGCCAGUAAAUGUUAAACAGAUAACUAAAAUGAACGCAGGUGUGGUUUAAGGACCUGAGUAAUGAUCUGAUCGAGACAGAGGAAUCCAGGAAAGGAAGGAGAGGGAGAUGCGUAGAGGCUCAAAGGUUUGGUUCCUCCCUGUGGAACAUCCAAGAUGGCUGAGAGAUGAAGAUCCGAACGCAGCUAUCAGUGCACGAGGCACCUACACAGAAGUGCAGCAGGUAGAGCGGCCAUAUGUCUUCGUUUAAUUAUGGAAAAAUCACAAAUGGGGGAUCGUUGCUUUUGUGAAAGCUGUCGAGAAGAGGAAUCGAAAAAGCAUCUGCCGUGGAGAUUUUGGGCAUGUUUCUGGAAAAUGGCCAAAACUGUAAGUGCCUCAAGGUCGUCCUCCUAGCCCAGGUGUCAGU